rnacentral:rRNA from 1 species
AGAGUUUGAUCCUGGCUCAGGAUGAACGCUAGCUACAGGCUUAACACAUGCAAGUCGAGGGGAAACGACAUCGAAAGCUUGCUUUUGAUGGGCGUCGACCGGCGCACGGGUGAGUAACGCGUAUCCAACCUGCCCACCACUUGGGGAUAACCUUGCGAAAGUAAGACUAAUACCCAAUGACGUCUCUAGAAGACAUCUGAAAGAGAUUAAAGAUUUAUCGGUGAUGGAUGGGGAUGCGUCUGAUUAGCUUGUUGGGCGGGGUAACGGCCACCAAGGCGACGAUCAGUAGGGGUUCUGAGAGGAACGGUCCCCCANAUUGGAACUGAGACACGGUCCAAACUCCUAGGGAGCA